rnacentral:rRNA from 1 species
CGGACGGGUGAGUAAUGCUGGGAAACUGCCUGAUGGAGGGGGAUAACUACUGGAAACGGUAGCUAAUACCGCAUAACGUCGCAAGACCAAAGAGGGGGACCUUCGGGCCUCUUGCCAUCGGAUGUGCCCAGAUGGGAUUAGCUAGUAGGUGGGGUAACGGCUCACCUAGGCGACGAUCCCUAGCUGGUCUGAGAGGAUGGCCAGCCACACUGGAACUGAGACACGGUCCAG